AAGCAUGAGAGUUUGAUCCUGGCUCAGGAUGAACGCUGGCGGCGUGCCUAACACAUGCAAGUCGAACGAAGCACUUAUGACGAUUCCUUCGGGAUGAAGCGU
rnacentral:rRNA from 1 species